UUGAUACACCGCUCCGUACGAUCACUGAAGUUAAGCAACAUCAAGCUUGGUCAGUACUUAAAUGGGUGACGACUUGGAAAUACCAGGUCCUGU